CAGUAGCCGCGGUAAUACGAAGGGUGCAAGCGUUACUCGGAAUUACUGGGCGUAAAGCGUGCGUAGGUGGUGGUUUAAGUCCGUUGUGAAAGCCCUGGGCUCAACCUGGGAAUUGCAGUGGAUACUGGGUCACUAGAGUGUGGUAGAGGAUAGUGGAAUUUCCGGUGUAGCAGUGAAAUGCGUAGAGAUCGGGAGGAACAUCAGUGGCGAAGGCGGCCAUCUGGGACAACACUGACGCUGAGGCACGAAAGCGUGGGGAGCAAACAGGAUUAGAUACCCGAGUAGUCCCUGUCUCUUAUAC
rnacentral:rRNA from 1 species